GAAUGGGUCAGUGUCUCAGAGAGAGAGGCCAUUGAAUGGGUCAGUGUCUCAGAGAGAGAGGCCAUUGAACGGGUCAGUGUCUCAGAGAGAGAGGCCAUUCUGGGUAAAUGGAACGGGUCAGUGUCUCAGAGAGAGAGGCCAUUCUGGGUAAAUGGAACGGGUCAGUGUCUCAGAGAGAGAGGCCAUUCUGGGUAAAUGGAACGGGUCAGUGUCUCAGAGAGAGAGGCCAGUCUGGGUAAAUGGAAUGGGUCAGUGUCUCAGAGAGAGAGGCCAUUGAACGGGUCAGUGUCUCAGAGAGAGAGGCCAUUCUGGGUAAAUGGAAUGGGUCAGUGUCUCAGAGAGAGAGGCCAUUGAACGGGUCAGUGUCUCAGAGAGAGAGGCCAUUCUGGGUAAAUGGAAUGGGUCAGUGUCUCAGAGAGAGAGGCCAUUGAACAGGUCAGUGUCUCAGAGAGAGAGGCCAUUCUGGGUAAAUGGAAUGGGUCAGUGUCUCAGAGAGAGAGGCCAUUGAACGGGUCAGUGUCUCAGAGAGAGAGGCCAUUCUGGGUAAAUGGAAUGGGUCAGUGUCUCAGAGAGAGAGGCCAUUGAACGGGUCAGUGUCUCAGAG